ACACAUGCAAGUCGAGCGCCCCGCAAGGGGAGCGGCAGACGGGUGAGCAACGCGUGGGAACGUACCUUUUGCUACGGAAUAACUCAGGGAAACUUGUGCUAAUACCGUAUGUGCCCUUCGGGGGAAAGAUUUAUCGCCAUUGGAGCGGCCCGCGUCUGAUUAGCUAGUUGGUGAGGUAAAGGCUCACCAAGGCGACGAUCAGUAGCUGGUCUGAGAGGAUGAUCAGCCACAUUGGGACUGAGACACGGCCCAAACUCCUACGGGAGGCAGCAGUGGGAAAUCUUGCGCAAUGGGCGAAAGCCUGACGCAGCCAUGCCGCGUGAAUGAUGAAGGCCUUAGGAUUGUAAAAUUCUUUCACCGGGGACGAUAAUGACGGUACCCGGAGAAGAGGCCCCGGCUAACUUCGUGCCAGCAGCCGCGGUAAUACGAAGGGGGCUAGCGUUGCUCGGAAUUACUGGGCGUAAAGGGAGCGUAGGCGGACAUUUAAGUCAGGGGUGAAAUCCCGGGGCUCAACCUCGGAAUUGCCUUUGAUACUGGGUGUCUUGAGUAUGAGAGAGGUGUGUGGAACUCCGAGUGUAGAGGUGAAAUUCGUAGAUAUUCGGAAGAACACCAGUGGCGAAGGCGACACACUGGCUCAUUACUGACGCUGAGGCUCGAAAGCGUGGGGAGCAAACAGGAUUAGAUACCCUGGUAGUCCACGCCGUAAACGAUGAUUGCUAGUUGUCGGGAUGCAUGCAUUUCGGUGACGCAGCUAACGCAUUAAGCAAUCCGCCUGGGGAGUACGGUCGCAAGAUUAAAACUCAAAGGAAUUGACGG
rnacentral:rRNA from 1 species